GCCUUCGUGUUGUAGUGGUCAGCACGCUCGACGGGUAUUCGAAAGGCCGGGGUUCGAGUUCCGGCGAGGGCA
rnacentral:tRNA from 1 species